CUGAUGAUGUGCUCCCUCAAAUUACAGUAUAAACCAAAAAAGGGGGAAGAAUGGGAUACGGGAAAGAGGAGACCCAAUGCAGGAGAGAGGAGAAGCGACUUCCCACUUUGAUGUUGAAAGGACAUCUCAGGACAACAGCCAUGCACCAACCAGGGAAAGUAACCAUCCACCAUAAGUCCAGAGCCCAUGGAAAAACUCCUUCAAGAAGAUAAAUUGAUAGAAUAUCUGAUGUGUAUGAAAGGUAACAUGGACAAACUUUGGAGAGUUUGGGGUUGAACUGGUGAUAAGUACAUGGAAUUUCCAACACAUAUUAAACAAAAGGCAAUCUUAAAUCAAGGGAAAACAAAAGACUGUUCAGGAAAAGAAAAGCAAUCAAAAUUUGCUGUGAAGGCUCAGAUCUGAAUAGCAUACAUGGUCAUAUUAUUGUAAACAUUGACUAUUGAUCUAAGCAAAAACCAUAGUUCUGGGAGAAUGGGAAGGUGGCAGGGUGAAUGUGUUUGGCAGGACAAGAGAAGGAAAAGGAGCUAAGUCUGCAUUUUCCAUAGUGGGAAGUAAACAGAUGAAGCAUAAAACAAAUACCCCCCAAAAGUAGCAAUACAAACACACUGUUGGAUAAGGUGGUAAAGAUCAAAAUAAAUCUAGAAAAGGUGAAAAUGGUUGCCUCUGUGGAGGGAAAUGGGGGAGGUUAACUGGAGACUGCUUUUUGUCUUAAAAAAUCGUAUAGAACCAGUUGAGUCUGGUUCUUUAAACUAUGUGCAUGUAUAAUUUUUGACAGAAAUUAAAACUUUAAGUUUUCCCUGGUUUUGUAGUGGGAACUGUAAGAGUAGGGUUAUGUGCUGUGAAAAAAGCCAGGCCAAUUUGUGGUAUGGUAAUGAAAUAGAUGGCUAGUUUCAUACUGCUGCUCUUCUGUACCACCAUAAAGCUUAUUCAUUCAUUUAUUUGACAAAUAUUGAUCAAGGCCCUGCUAUAUGAAGGCAAUUUCACCUCCAUUAUCUCUAAUAAUCUGGCUUUUAGAAAUCAUAGGGAAGAAAUGUGGGCUUAUGGCUCCCUUUCUGAUCAAGUCCACAUAGGGGCUACUGACUAACCUGGGAGGGACCAGGUAGGGUCUGGGCCUGUGCUGGGGCUAGAAGAAACAGAGGCUAGUCUUCCCCUCUGGGUGAUGGUGGGUGCUCCUCCUCCAUAUAAAUGUCCACUUAGACAUUUAUAUGUCUAAAAUAUGUAAUAUAUUUUAUAUUAAAUAAUAUAUAAAUACAUAUUAUAUAUAAUAUAUAAAUAAGACACCUUACCACCUAAAGAUUAGUUUCUUUCCAAACUAAGUCUCACCCACAAGAUAAAACUCACAUUUCCCUGUUAACAGGGUACAUGAGAGAAUGGGGAGGGAUGAGCAUAGUAUCUGUUCUCCCUUUUGUGGAAUAUCUGUGACCUAGAAAAAGUAUGUAGUUGAAGUUCUACCCCUCCCUAAUGAGUGAAGAGGAAAUCUACAUAGCACAGUUUGGUCAUAUGAAAUAUGCCCUCCUUGAACAUGUCCUGCUCACCAUAAGUCCCCAGAAAUUUGGGGAUGGCCCUCCUGUCCUGUCACAGAGAGCCUGUAUCAUCUCCUGUACUUGGGAAGCAAUUCGGACCUCCUUAGCAAUGUCGUCUUCCACCUGAGAAGGGUAAGUUAUAGGUCAAAGUACCACUGAGACUACCUUGGGAUCGAGGUGCAUGAAGGCAUGACCAGUGGCUCCCCAAGCUAAGAAGAAAGGGUCAGCAGGUGCCCAUCUACUCCACCAUGGAGGAAGAGAGGAAAGGAGAAAGGGAAAGAGACAGGUUCAAAGUAAAGACUAUUAGGAACUCUUCCUCUAUGGGCUAUUUGGUAUAACAAUUGGCUUUCCAUCAUUCCUCUUCAUCAUAGAUUUUCUGAACCACAGCCAAGGCAGGGGGGGGUGCUAGUCAGCUCUGAGAUUGUUUGUUGCACUUGCCCUUUGUAAAAACUACAUUUCAGAGCCAAAAGAUGAGCUAAUAUUCUACUUCAGCAUCAGUAGUAAAAAGCAAAUAACUGGGUAUGAGAACCAGGAAAUAAGAAGUUUAAUGCUCCCAUGGAGAAGCAAAUAUUUGCACUUAUUAAUAUCCUGAAAACCAUGUUGCCAUGAAUAGUUCCUUCUCCUUUUAUCCCAUGCCUUUGUCUAACACAGUGAUAUAUUGCCACCCUUUCAAAAUCCUGACACAGAUGACAUUGAAGCAAAUUAUGUACCUCAGCCAGAUUUCUCAGUUGAAAUGGAGAUAGCUGAUGUGUACAUUUUUCCAUCUAAUUAACAUUCCACAGUUUGAAUAGCUGUUAUCAUGCCCUGGGUCCCAUAUGAAUGGGUGAAUAGAUAGAAAGAUCCAUAAACAGCUUGGCUUGCAUAGAAUGAGAUUUUUCUCCAGACAAAGAGAAAAUGGAAUGAAUCAUUGUCAUCUGGAUGGUAGCAGCCAUCAGGGACUAACAUGAGCACACUCCCCUGUGAGCAGAUACAAGUGUGUUGCCUGGCACCAGAAGCCAUCUCUGGAGGACCUUGGCCCACUCCCGGCCUCUGUAUUCCGCCACGUAAAUUUUUUCACCCAGGUUUUUGUUUAUACUGGUUUGUGGUGUCCAAAAAUCUGUCCCAAAUUUGUUCAUACUCCUCCACUCAACAGGUGUAAAUUAAUUCUCCUCUCCUUAUACUUAGUGAUUCAGUUCCAAUGAAAAGAAUAUGGCCAAAGUGAUAGUAUAUAACUUCUGAGACUAGGUCCAAAAAUACAUUUCUUUCUUUCUCUCUCUCUCUCCCUCUCUCUCACUCACUCUGGAGAAAGCCAGUUGCCAUUACAAGAGGCUACUCACAAAGUCCCGUGGAGAGUAACUUAUGCCUCCUGCCAAUAACCAUGGGGAUGAACCAUCCUGGAAGUCGAUCCCUAGCCCCAGACAAGCCUUCAGAUGAGACCACAGCCCUAGCCGACAUGACUGCAACCUCGUGAGAGACCCUGAGCCAGAACCACUCAGCUAAGUCACUAUUGAAUUCCCGACUCACAGAAACUGUGUGAUGUAAUGUUCAUUGCUUGAAGCUGCUGAAUUUGAGGCUGACCCUAUGCAACAACAGGUAACUAAUACACACUGUGAUUUCCCCAUAUUUAUGGGGAAAGGUUUUUUUUCUCCCUAAUAUUCAAAGGCCAAGAUGACUACAGCUGCCAUAGCAAAACUCCAAAGUCACUGCAAAGUGAGGGGAUCAGAAGCUUGCUCAGGCCUUCCACAAGCCAGCCAGCUCUCUGGGAACUGUACAACUUGCUGGAAAAAGACACAAAAAAAUUGAAGGAAAAUGUCAAGGGCGUGCCUCAGGCCACUCAUCACUCAUUCCCUCUUUCCUCCAUGUAUCCUCUAAGCGGUGUCCCGUCUCACAGACCUCACUGUGUUCUGCAGCCUCUCUCAUCAGCUCUGUGCAUGCUCUUGGCCCCCUGUGUAACUCCUCAUACGUCGGUCUUCCCCCCAGAAACCCGUAGCUGGCAUACUGGUGCUCACACCUGCAAAGCCCAGCCUAUGCCAGGUCCUGAGCCAACUUGGGCCAGGAUAGGCAGUGCCAGAGGUCCCUUGGUGCUUUCAAAGCAAGCUGGACGUGGAAACGCCCAUAAGUGGAGUAACUACAAAUGAGCAGAGUGGUUAAAAUCUCCAGUUUGGACCUAGGCAGAAAUAAGUUUGAUUCCAGAAUCCACUGUUGACUGGCUAAUUGAUUUUGGACAAGUUAAGUAGCUAAUACUUGUCUCUCUCCUCGGUAAAAUGGGUGCAUACCAUGGCCCACCUUGAACAGAAUUACAUUAAAUCUAUGUAACCUCUUCAUACAGGGCCUGGUGUCUUAAUAAAUGUUGCUAUUAAGACCAGGAGUAGAAGGCUUCCUAUCACAAGCUUGGAAUCCCCUUCUCACCCUGUGCAAUUACUUCAUUCCCACUCAUUGUAAAUGCUGUUGAAGUUACGGCUGCAACAAGGAAACUAAAAUGAGAUCGGAUCCUCAAGACAUGGUGUGAGCUUGAAGGUGGAGGUGGAAGGAGGUGUUCUUACUGUGCCUGCCCUUCUUAGGAGAUUUUUCCUCUCUCCAACCCAAUGGAUCUGUUCUAAGCAGAGGAUCCUUCUAAGAGGGAGAGGGAGAAGGAAUGUCCACAUCAAAAGGAGAGAGCUUGUCUGGGGUGUGAAGAGGGCACAGAACCAGAGCCAGAGCCAGAGUCUGCCUGCACCUGGGGUCAAGGAGCCAGAAUUCUGAAGGAGGCCAGAGAAUCAAAGCUGUGUAUUUGGAGCAAACAGAGGAAAAAGCCACAAGCAGAGGUAACAGUGGAUUCAUUGCCAAAGGGAUCUGCAAAGUGGGAGGGGCUACACCUACAGAUUAUAAGGAUGUGCCCGAAUAGGCACUUUUGCAAGACCCAGAUUCUAUCUCCCAAACCUGGGUCUUCUGCUAUAAAAAGAAGAGCUUUGUGAAUAUAUAGGGAGCUUAUGCCUCAUACCAGAGCCAACUUCUUCUGAUCUACCCAUGUCUUUCCAAAUUUUCACUUUGGAAGCCAAGUUGAGAGGUCCCCAGUGUGGCAUAUUAAUUAACAGUGCUUCCCAGGACGUGUACCACCUGGGGGUGACCCUCCUGACUCUGUGAAGGGUCAUUCCACAGAGGGGAAAUUAGCUCUGUCCUUCCCAGUGCCUGGUCCCCUUGAACUUGAUCUGGAAAGCUGCCUAUCGCAGCUGAGAGCAGAAUGAAGACCCUGCUGGAGGAGGUCUGUGGCCCAGGCAGAGGCAUCUGAGUUGAACGUCAAAGAACAGCAGCCAGCCCCCCACCCCCAGCAUCCCAUGCCCCUCACUUCCCACCCACCUCUUCAGAACCCUAGAGUCAUAGCCCCUGCCACCACCCACUGAAAACUCUUACUUAUAAGAUCGUGAAAUCGAGAUUGAGAAAGGGGACCUGACUUCUAUGUCAUACACCACAUCCAUGAACAAGCUCCUGACUCCUGGUCUCAGGUUCUCUUUCUGUUGCUCCCAGACUCCAUGCUGAAUCUCCCGGGACCUGAUCAUGAGUGCCCUGCUCUGAGUGACCAGGGGUAGAGCGGUGCACGUUUCCUCCCUUCAACUCCAGCCCCUCAGGGGCAACCGAUAAAGUGGGAAAAACUUGAGAUUAACUGCAGAAGACCUAACUUAGUCACCAGCGCCACCUCUCACGAGCUGUGUGAUGGAGGCAAGUCACCCUCUCUGAUCUACAGUGGGAUUAAUUGAGGACUGGGAGGAACACUGACAGCUGCACCUCACGAAGCUGUUUGGACGGCUCAGUGAAAAAUGUAAAAA